CCGGGGCGGCUUGCUUACCAUGCAGUCGAACGAUGAACCGGUUUCGGCCGGGGAUUAGUGGCGAACGGGUGAGUAACACGUGGGCAAUCUGCCCUGCACUCUGGGAUAAGCCCGGGAAACUGGGUCUAAUACCGGAUACGACACAUGAGCGCAUGCUCGUGUGUGGAAAGUUCCGGCGGUGCAGGAUGAGCCCGCGGCCUAUCAGUUUGUUGGUGGGGUAGUGGCCUACCAAGACGACGACGGGUAGCCGGCCUGAGAGGGUGACCGGCCACACUGGGACUGAGACACGGCCCAGACUCCUACGGGAGGCAGCAGUGGGGAAUAUUGCACAAUGGGCGAAAGCCUGAUGCAGCGACGCCGCGUGAGGGAUGACGGCCUUCGGGUUGUAAACCUCUUUCAGCAGGGAAGAAGCGAAAGUGACGGUACCUGCAGAAGAAGCACCGGCUAACUACGUGCCAGCAGCCGCGGUAAUACGUAGGGUGCAAGCGUUGUCCGGAAUUAUUGGGCGUAAAGAGCUCGUAGGCGGCCUGUCGCGUCGAUUGUGAAAGCCCAGGGCUUAACCCUGGGUCUGCAGUCGAUACGGGCAGGCUAGAGUUCGGUAGGGGAGAUCGGAAUUCCUGGUGUAGCGGUGAAAUGCGCAGAUAUCAGGAGGAACACCGGUGGCGAAGGCGGAUCUCUGGGCCGAUACUGACGCUGAGGAGCGAAAGCGUGGGGAGCGAA
rnacentral:rRNA from 1 species